rnacentral:rRNA from 1 species
UACGUAGGGUGCAAGCGUUGUCCGGAAUUAUUGGGCGUAAAGAGCUCGUAGGUGGCCUGUCGCGUCGGCUGUGAAAACUCGGGGCUCAACUCCGAGCUUGCAGUCGAUACGGGCAGGCUAGAGUUCGGCAGGGGAGACUGGACUUCCUGGUGUAGCGGUGAAAUGCGCAGAUAUCAGGAGGAACACCGGUGGCGAAGGCGGGUCUCUGGGCCGAUACUGACACUGAGGAGCGAAAGCGUGGGGAGCGAACAGG